CCUACGGGUGGCAGCAGUGGGGGAUAUUGCACAAUGGGGGGAACCCUGAUGCAGCGACGCCGCGUGGGUGAAGCAUCGCCUCGGCGCGUAAAGCCCUGUCAGCAGGGAAGAAAAUGACGGUCCCUGAAGAAGAAGCCCCGGCUAACUACGUGCCAGCCGCCGCGGUAAUACGUAGGGGGCAAGCGUUAUCCGGAUUUACUGGGUGUAAAGGGGGCGCAGACGGCGAUGCAAGACAGGAGUGAAAGCCCGGGGCCCAACCCCGGGACUGCUCUGGGAACUGCGUGGCUGGAGUGCAGGAGGGGUAAGCGGAAUGCCUGGUGUAGCGGUGAAAUGCGUAGAUAGCAGGAGGAACACCGGUGGCGAAGGCGGCCUGCUGGACUGCAACUGACGUGGAGGCCCGAAAGCGUGGGGAGCAAACAGGAUUAGAUACCCUUGUAGUC
rnacentral:rRNA from 1 species